rnacentral:rRNA from 1 species
UACGGAGGGAGCUAGCGUUGUUCGGAAUUACUGGGCGUAAAGCGCGCGUAGGCGGCUUUGUAAGUUAGAGGUGAAAGCCCGGAGCUCAACUCCGGAACUGCCUUUAAAACUGCAUCGCUUGAAUCCAGGAGAGGUGAGUGGAAUUCCGAGUGUAGAGGUGAAAUUCGUAGAUAUUCGGAAGAACACCAGUGGCGAAGGCGGCUCACUGGACGACUGUUGACGCUGAGGUGCGAAAGCGUGGGGAGCAAACAGG